AAAAACCAUUAAUACAGAAACAUAUUGCCAUGAAAUUGCCAAAAUGAACGAAAUACUGCUAUUCCUCCGUCCCAGACUGGUCUGUAAAAGAGGGCCAAUAAGUCUUCCUGACAAUGCUCGACUGUACGUAUCACUAAUGACGCUCCAUAAGUUGGGGGAACUUGGCUACGAAGUUCUUCCCCACCCAGCUUAUUCUCCAGACCUUUCUCCUACCAACUACCACUUUUUCAAGCACCUUUGUGGUUUCCUGCAAGAGAAGGAGUUCAAAAAUCAAACUGAUGCUGUAAGUGCGUUCAAAGAGUUCAUCAGCUCCAGAACUUCAGACUUUUAUGUUACCGGAAUAAACAAACUUGUAACUCGUUGGCAAAAAUGUGUUGAUUGUAAUGGUACUUACUUUUGAAUAAAAUUUCCUCAUUGUUGAAAUAUAUUGUCAUGAAUUUCAUGUUUCAAAACGUUGCUUACUUUUUACUCAGCGUGAUAGUACAGAGUUGAAAAUAUUUACUGUGGAACAUAAGAAUACAUCAUACAGUGAUGAUAUUUAGCUGGGUGACCAAUAUUAUUUUAAAGGUUUUGUUCAAUCCGGGAGAGAAAUUCUAACAUGUUUUGCUGUUAUUGAACUUUCUCAGCAAAGCAUGAACUUCGCGGUACUUGCCGAAAUUGUAUUAUGAAAUUUGCCAUUUCGGAUUACUUUGCAGUUGCCUGAAUAAGCACAGCAUAUUACAAAUUAGUUAAGAAAAAAUAUUGAUUGUAAUUACUCACAAACACCAUCUACAUGAAACAUAUUGAAUGUAAUGGGCAUCAGCAAUCUAAUUAGAAUAUGAAAGAAAACGGAAGAGAAGAAUAUCUCAAUGUCUAAUAAUUUUUUAAUCAUUUUCACAAGCAGGAGAAAUAACUCCAAGCACGUUUCGGUCUUAUGAGAUACACCUUGAUGUAUAAUUAACUGCAGUUCAACUCUUGGUGAAAACCAAAAAUUUCUCGCGUGCUGGUAAAUGCAUUAUGACAGAUGGCAGGAUCUUUGGACCCUCAUUAGAGUCAGGUAAACUAGGCAAUAUUGCUUUCGACUCAUAUACUCUGUCCAUCUACACCCUGUCCGAAAUACUCUGUCCAACUAUUCAAACUGUCAAUCUCCUCAAUCAGCAUGGUACCAUUCUUUGCUCAGAGACCUCAUUUAUCUUCUGAUGCACUUUGUAUCCUACAGGAAAUUGCUUUUCAAUUACAUCACACUAUUCAUUCAGGCAAGUCUUUUUAGCUUCCUUACACAUCCGUUCAGUCAAUCCAAAUCCCAAUACUCGUUGGAUUUCCUGUUCCUGAUCAUCUGUCUUUUAUUCGUCAUUGAAAGUAUCUCCUCAGUUACCAAUUACAUAUUUUUUUCUUUUCUUUUGGCAGGAUUUCCUGGGAUGUUUCUACUAAGGUGUUUCUCAUUACUUCUCACGCAAAAUCUGCAUUCUCAAAAUUAUAUAGCAUCUUGAGAAACCGUACUCUGAGCAUCGAUAUCAAGAUGCGUAUAUUGAACUCUUAUGCCUACCCUUUUGUAUGGAAGUAUAACAUGGUCUUUAAUAUUAGAAAUAAGAAGGUGCUUGGAGAGCUGUGAAAUGUGGCUCUUAAGGAGAAUAUUGAGGAUAGCAUGAACAGAGUGUCUAAUGAAAAAGUGAUGACCUGGUCUGUGAUAAAUAGGGUACUGUUUCGUGAAAAAAGGCCAAGAAACUGAAAUUAAUUGGUCGUGUAAUGAUGAAAGAAGGCCCGGAGAAUUUAGCGAUGACCAGAAAGAUUGAAAGGAAAAAAAGCAGAGGAAGGAGAAGGAUGAUAUGGAUGUCAAACUUGACAAACUGGUUGGAAGAAAGAGACAUUAAACAUCAGGAAGUGGAACUGUUACAGAAUUCAAAGAACAUAGAAUUGUGACAGGGCAUUUUCGCCUCUCUCAUUCUGGACAUAGCACCUAAAGAGGGAAAUGCAUGAAUGUCACAACAUUAUAUAGUGCCAUCAUAAUAUUAUGCCAGUCUGAAAUUAACAGUGGUAUAAAUAAAGUCUAUAAAAAUGAAUGAAAUUACUGAUUCAAA
rnacentral:lncRNA from 1 species